UACGAAGGGGGCGAGCGUUGUUCGGAAUUACUGGGCGUAAAGGGCGCGCAGGCGGCCUUAGAAGUCAGAUGUGAAAGCCCCGGGCUCAACCUGGGAAUGGCGAUGGAUACUGGCUCGCUAGAGUGCGGUAGAGGAGAGUGGAAUUCCCGGUGUAGCAGUGAUAUGCGUAGAUAUCGGGAGGAACACCUGUGGCGAAGGCGGCUUUCUGGGCCUUACCUGACGCUGAGACGCGAAAGCGUGGGGAGCGAACCGG
rnacentral:rRNA from 1 species